AUCGCUUCUCGGCCUUUUGGCUAAGAUCAAGUGUAGUAUCUGUUCUCAUCAGUUUAAUAUCUGAUACGUCUCCUAUCUGGGUACCACAUAUUAAAUAGAUUUUUGGAACAGCAAGAUGGAAUAGGGGGUUUCUUCAUCCACUGCAAGCAGCGACCUGGUAUUGCAGUACGUCCAGGAAUGAUGCAACCCCU